GGGGGCGUAGUAUAAGCUGGUAGUACGCGCGGCUCCAGACCGCAUAAUCUCGGUUCAAAUCCGGGCGUCCCCA
rnacentral:tRNA from 1 species